rnacentral:rRNA from 1 species
CGCUUACUAUGUCUACAGUAAGUCGAUUCUGCCCAAUGCUUUGGUUAAUGGCCGCAGUACCCUGACUGUGCUAAGGUAGCAUAAUAAUUUGCCCUUUAAUUGGGGGCUGGUAUGAACGAACUGACGAAGUAAAAACUGUCUCAGGGAGAUAAAUGAAACUUUAUAUCUAGGUUAAAAAUCCUAAAUUUCAUAGGGGGACGAUAAGACCCUAAAAGCUUUACCAUUAAACCCUGUAAAAAUAUAAAUCUCUCAGGGGUGUCUGGUUUUCACUGGGGCGGUGAUUCUUUACCAACAAGAAUAUUAAUAACACCUUGAGUGCUCUCUACUACCUUUACUCCAAUACCGAACCAAGUUACUUUAGGGAUAACAGCGUAAUUCCCUGUGAGAGUUCGUAUCAACCGGGGAGAUUGCGACCUCGAUGUUGAAUUGAGGCCUUAUUUAGAGCAGCAUCUAAAUUUAAGAAGACUGUUCGUCUUUUAAACCCUC